CUGAAGAAUGUAUUCCAUGAGUCCAAGCUAGCUAUUUUUUUUUUGAGGUAAAUCAAUCAAUCAAUCUAGCUAAUAUAAAUAGCUCGCUAGAUUGCAUCACUUGGCGCAAUUUAUUUCCAAGAGGGGCUCGCAUUGCACCUCUCGAUCAGUACUCAGUAGUUCUGAUGGAGCGGAGCAUAAACAACCCACCGCCUCCGCCAGGCUACCCGACGGCGCUUGAUCAUUCGGAGGAGCAGGGUGCAGGCAAGAAGAUGAAGAAGAAGGGAUUCUUGCGACGUCCGGCAACGACGACCAGACGGGGCGAGACGAGUUUUAUCGAAGGAUGCAUCGCUACGCUAUGCUGCUGCUGGCUCUGGGAGCUGUGCUGCGACUGAAGGCCGAGGACGGGCGAUUGAUAAUUUGUGAAGAUGGUUUCGUCGUGUUUAAAGCUUUAGCCGCGGUGUAGAUUUUGGUCAAAGUUGGUGAUACGUAUAAUUUUGUGUUUAUUUCCUGUCGACUCCACGUAUUCAGGGAACUUCAGCGCGCGUGCACUUGCGUAAUGUCACAUCAUUGAACAAUUUUGUUUCUCUCUCCGCGGGGAUCGUCACUGAUAGUUGUCUUGAGAAGACAGAUAGUUAUGUCAUAUCUCAUAUGGUCAUUUGACAAGCCUUCAUUAGGGCUACAUGAAGUAUGAGUGCAACCGUAUGAAAAUGGUUUUAGGGAUAUUUUUAACCGGCCUGGUGCUGUAAUCGCCUUCAGGAUGCAUGGAGCUUUCAUCCUCCAUGUUUUCGCUUUUCUAGUGGUUGAUCUUUGGAGCAACCUUAAGUGAUUUGUGAGACAUGUAAACCCUGAAUGAUGUUCUAAUAAAUAUGGCAGUAUCAGCUGAUGCA